CGGACGAACGCGUGGCGGCGUGCCUAAUACAUGCAAGUCGAGCGCGUGAAACUUUUAGAAUCCUUCGGGAGGACAAAGAGUGGAACGAGCGGCGAAUGGGUGAGUAUCACGUGGGCAACCUGCCUGUAAGAUGGGAUAACUUGCGGAAACGUGAGCUAAUACCGAAUGAAAGCUUUCACCGCCUGGUGAAAGACUGAAAGAUGGCUUCGGCUAUCACUUACAGAUGGGCCCGCGUCGCAUUAGCUAGUUGGUAGGGUAAAGGCCUACCAAGGCCACGAUGCGUAGCCGACCUGAGAGGGUGAUCGGCCACACUGGGACUGAGACACGGCCCAGACUCCUACGGGAGGCAGCAGUAGGGAAUCUUCCGCAAUGGACGAAAGUCUGACGGAGCAACGCCGCGUGAGUGAUGAAGGUCUUAGGAUCGUAAAACUCUGUUGUCAGGGAAGAACAAGAAGUGUUCGAUAAGGGCAUUUCCUUGACGGUACCUGACCAGAAAGCCCCGGCUAACUACGUG
rnacentral:rRNA from 1 species